AAGUAUUAAAGGUCCUGCCUGCCCAGUGAAACUUUUCAACGGCCGCGGUAUCCUAACCGUGCAAAGGUAGCGCAAUCCCUUGCCCCUUAAUUAGGGGCUAGUAUGAACGGCACCAUGAGGGCUCAACUGUCUCCUGAGACCAAACAAUGAAAUUGAAACUCCAGUACGAAUGCUGGAAUAACAACAUAAGACGAGAAGACCCUGUGGAACUUUAACUAUUAUACUAGCACUAAAACUAACUUUUACCCCCUAGUAAAACUUUCAGUUGGGGCAACUAUGGAGCAAAACAAAGCCUCCACAAACAACGAUUAAUCCUCGCACCCAAGGCCCACACGCCAUCAAUAUACUACUUGACCCGGCACAGCCGAUUAAUGAACUAAGCUACCCCAGGGAUAACAGCGCCAUCUCCUUCAAGAGUCCCUAUCGCCAAGGAGGUUUACGACCUCGAUGUUGGAUCAGGACCCCCCGGUGGUGUAGCCGCUGCCAAAGGUCGUUGUCAACGAAUAAUGUCCU
rnacentral:rRNA from 1 species